AGAGUUUGAUCCUGGCUCAGGACGAAUGCUGGCGGCGCGCCUAACACAUGCAAGUCGAACGAGCAAGAGAGAGCUUGCUUUCUCGAGCGAGUGGCGAACGGGUGAGUAACGCGUGAGGAACCUGCCUCAAAGAGGGGGACAACAGUUGGAAACGACUGCUAAUACCGCAUAAGCCCACGGGUCGGCAUCGACCAGAGGGAAAAGGAGCAAUCCGCUUUGAGAUGGCCUCGCGUCCGAUUAGCUAGUUGGUGAGGUAAUGGCCCACCAAGGCGACGAUCGGUAGCCGGACUGAGAGGUUGAACGGCCACAUUGGGACUGAGACACGGCCCAGACUCCUACGGGAGGCAGCAGUGGGGAAUAUUGCACAAUGGGGGAAACCCUGAUGCAGCGACGCCGCGUGGAGGAAGAAGGUCUUCGGAUUGUAAACUCCUGUUGUUGGGGAAGAUAAUGACGGUACCCAACAAGGAAGUGACGGCUAACUACGUGCCAGCAGCCGCGGUAAAACGUAGGUCACAAGCGUUGUCCGGAAUUACUGGGUGUAAAGGGAGCGCAGGCGGGAAGACAAGUUGGAAGUGAAAUCUAUGGGCUCAACCCAUAAACUGCUUUCAAAACUGUUUUUCUUGAGUAGUGCAGAGGUAGGCGGAAUUCCCGGUGUAGCGGUGGAAUGCGUAGAUAUCGGGAGGAACACCAGUGGCGAAGGCGGCCUACUGGGCACCAACUGACGCUGAGGCUCGAAAGUGUGGGUAGCAAACAGGAUUAGAUACCCUGGUAGUCCACACCGUAAACGAUGAUUACUAGGUGUUGGAGGAUUGACCCCUUCAGUGCCGCAGUUAACACAAUAAGUAAUCCACCUGGGGAGUACGACCGCAAGGUUGAAACUCAAAGGAAUUGACGGGGGCCCGCACAAGCAGUGGAGUAUGUGGUUUAAUUCGACGCAACGCGAAGAACCUUACCAAGUCUUGACAUCCCUUGACAGGCAUAGAAAUAUGUUUUCUCUUCGGAGCAAGGAGACAGGUGGUGCAUGGUUGUCGUCAGCUCGUGUCGUGAGAUGUUGGGUUAAGUCCCGCAACGAGCGCAACCCUUAUGGUCAGUUACUACGCAAGAGGACUCUGGCCAGACUGCCGUUGACAAAACGGAGGAAGGUGGGGAUGACGUCAAAUCAUCAUGCCCUUUAUGACUUGGGCUACACACGUACUACAAUGGCGUUAAACAAAGAGAAGCAAGACCGCGAGGUGGAGCAAAACUCAGAAACAACGUCCCAGUUCGGACUGCAGGCUGCAACUCGCCUGCACGAAGUCGGAAUUGCUAGUAAUCGUGGAUCAGCAUGCCACGGUGAAUACGUUCCCGGGCCUUGCACUCAACGGCCGUCA
rnacentral:rRNA from 1 species